GAGGAGCAUCCCUGACCGCAGCAUCCCCCGUCAGAGCAUCCCAACCAGAGCAAUUCCUGACCGAAGCGUCCUCAGCAGAGCAUCCUAAAUGGAGCAAUCCCUGACCGGAGCAUCAUCCCCUGUCGGAGCAUCCCAACACCGGAGCAUCCCAACCGGAGCAAUCCCCGGCCGCAGCAUCCCCGCCUCCCCCGCGGCAGCAGGAGACCCGCUGAGCUCUCCCUGAGGGCGCUCCGUCUGCCAAGGGCUGGGAGCGAUGGCUUUAGCUCCUCCUCAACAUCUGUAUCCUCACGAGGUGCCUGGGCUCCUUUGGAAAACACGACCUCAGGGAUCGCGUUUGUCAUUGAGAAACACCGCAAUGAACAUUUUAAGAGAGCGAAAAUGCCAGAAAUAAAGGCGAGGAGCUACUUCGCAGAAUUUCCCGUGAUUUUGCAGGUUGAAUUUCAAAUCUGUAGAAAUCUGCCCCGGGAAGGGGCUGCUGGUGAAGCUGGGGGCUCGUCCGCUCAGUUGGUGUCGCAGGGAGCAGCCGGAGCUGGAACCAGUUCCCAAAGCGCUGCUGGUCUGGGGCCUCGUCAGGACUUUGGUUCAAGACAUCAGCUCAAGAUCGGUGAAUUUUGGGUGACACGUGUAUCACGAAUAGUGACGGAUAGUGUCUGUCUGUCGUAAGGAGCUGGUCCGUCUGCCCUGUCGUGUCGACAGCCCCAUGUGCCGGAGAGGUUGCAGCACUCGAUAUAUGUUUAUAGCCAGAAGAGGCGUGGGAUGAAGCCAAGGCUGGGAAGCCUCCCCCCUCGGGAGGCGGGAUGCGGACCCUCACGCAGCAGCAGUUGCUGCUCUGCACACCCAGCAGCUCCGGC